UCCGGUUUGACACCGGCAGUCUCCCUAGAGUGCCCGGCUUUACCCGCUGGUAACUAGGGACAAGGGUUGCGCUCGUUGCGGGACUUAACCCAACAUCUCACGACACGAGCUGACGACAGCCAUGCAGCACCUGUGCAGGAUCUCCGAAGAGGGGCUCUCGUUUCUGAGAGCUUGCUCCUGCAUGUCAAGCCUAGGUAAGGUGGGGAUGACGUUUACGUGCACUU
rnacentral:misc_RNA from 1 species